rnacentral:rRNA from 1 species
UUAAGCAUAUCAAUAAGCGGAGGAAAAGAAACCAACAGGGAUUGCCCUAGUAACGGCGAGUGAAGCGGCAAUAGCUCAAAUUUGAAAGCUGGCCUCUGGUCCGCAUUGUAAUUUGUAGAGGAUGCUUUUAGGCAGCCGCCGGUCUAAGUUCCUUGGAACAGGACGUCAUAGAGGGUGAGAAUCCCGUAUGUGACCGGCUCAGGCACCUUCUGUAAAGCUCCUUCGACGAGUCGAGUUGUUUGGGAAUGCAGCUCUAAAUGGGAGGUAAAUUUCUUCUAAAGCUAAAUACUGGCGAGAGACCGAUAGCGCACAAGUAGAGUGAUCGAAAGAUGAAAAGCACUUUGGAAAGAGAGUUAAAAAGCACGUGAAAUUGUUGAAAGGGAAGCGCUUGCAAUCAGACUUGGCCUAGGGUGUUCAACCGGUCUUCUGACCGGCCUAUUCAUUCUGGGCCAGGCCAGCAUCAGUUUUGGCGGCCGGAUAAAGGCCUUGGGAAUGUGGCUUCCUCUUCGGGGGAAGUGUUAUAGCCCAGGGUGUAAUACGGCCAGCCGGGACUGAGGUCCGCGCUUCGGCUAGGAUGCUGGCGUAAUGGUUGUAAGCGGCCCGUCUUGAAACACGGACCAAGGAGUCUAACAUCUAUGCGAGUGUUAGGGUGUCAAACCCUUACGCGUAAUGAAAGUGAACGGAGGUGGGAACCCGCAAGGGUGCACCAUCGACCGAUCCUGAUGUCUUCGGAUGGAUUUGAGUAAGAGCAUAGCUGUUGGGACCCGAAAGAUGGUGAACUAUGCCUGAAUAGGGUGAAGCCAGAGGAAACUCUGGUGGAGGCUCGCAGCGGUUCUGACGUGCAAAUCGAUCGUCAAAUUUGGGUAUAGGGGCGAAAGACUAAUCGAACCAUCUAGUAGCUGGUUCCUGCCGAA